GUGCAGUUUAAUUCACUUGACUAAUUUGCUUAAUUUUGAAAUGAUGAUGUUUCAUUCUGUUUUGACUUGCCAUUUCAAAGACUACAUAUUAACAAUACUACACUUCAUUAAAAAUGUAUGUGAUCAUUUAACCAUUAUCAUGCAUGUUGUUUAUCAUGGGUCACAUAAUAUGCUGCCAGAUCAUAGCCUGAUUUGGGCCACAUAUCACCUGACUGAUCUGGGCCACACUCCUCCCACCAACAAUCGGCCCUCAUAUUGUUUGCCGGAUCCCCGCCCUCCCGUCAUUGCCACACAUGGCCCAGCUCUGGCUGAAAGGGUACAUGCCAUUGCCGACAGGAGGCCAGCAGUGCCAGCUUGAGGCCACAUUUGGGCCAAGUCCAUUUGCUAUGUGGGGGAUGGAAUGAGCGAAAAAAAAAAGAAACCUGCACAAGUACUUAUCUACACGGUACAAGAUUUCAUCAAUGAAGACUAUCCAAAAGACAAAAGGAAGUCAAAGAGGACAUUGAGGCUAUAAAGAAGUGCACGCAAAGGUCUGAUGAGGAACUGCAACAGUGGGUCAUUGAUGUGACACAGUGGGCAGUUGACAUGUUGUGAAAUAUACUCCUCACAGCAGUAGGGGGAGCUCGCUGAGAAAACAUGCGACAACAAAAGUGAAAAUCAACGAAGAAAUGGCUCGAAAUGCUAAGUUAAUAAUUAAACUUGGGUGAUGUAGCAUUCUCCC
ensembl:lncRNA